rnacentral:rRNA from 1 species
AGUGAACGCUGGCGGUAGGCCUAACACAUGCAAGUCGAACGGCAGCACAGUAAGAGCUUGCUCUUACGGGUGGCGAGUGGCGGACGGGUGAGGAAUACAUCGGAAUCUACUUUUUCGUGGGGGAUAACGUAGGGAAACUUACGCUAAUACCGCAUACGACCUACGGGUGAAAGCAGGGGAUCUUCGGACCUUGCGCGAUUGAAUGAGCCGAUGUCGGAUUAGCUAGUUGGCGGGGUAAAGGCCCACCAAGGCGACGAUCCGUAGCUGGUCUGAGAGGAUGAUCAGCCACACUAGAACUGGGACACGGUCCAGACUCCUACGGGAGGCAGCAGUGGGGAAUGUUGGACAAUGGGCGCAAGCCUGAUCCAGCCAUACCGCGUGGGUGAAGAAGGCCUUCGGGUUGUAAAGCCCUUUUGUUGGGAAAGAAAAGCAGCAGGUUAAUACCCCGCUGUUCUGACGGUACCCAAAGAAUAAGCACCGGCUAACUUCGUG